GUACCCUCAAGCUUUGCUUGGUGUUGGGUGUUUGUCCUCUCCUUUGCGUUUGGACUCGCCUUAAAGCAAUUGGCAGCCAGUGUUUUGGUAUUGAAGCGCAGCACAUUUUGCGAUUCUAGCCGAAAGACUUGCGUCCAUAAGCCUUUUUUAAC
rnacentral:misc_RNA from 1 species